ensembl:snRNA U5 U5 spliceosomal RNA
AUACUCUGGUUUCUCUUCAGAUCAUAUAAAUCUUUCGCCUUUUACUAAAGAUUUCCAUGGAGAGGUGUGGAGCAGCCAGAGUAAGCUAGGCAUAUGGUAUGCAAGUGUACCAUG